rnacentral:rRNA from 1 species
CCUACGGGAGGCAGCAGUAGGGAAUCUUUCACAAUGGGCGAAAGCCUGAUGGAGCAACGCCGCGUGCAGGAUGAAGGCCUUCGGGUUGUAAACUGCUUUUAUAAGCGAGAAAUAUGAUGGUAACUUAUGAAUAAGGAUCGGCUAACUACGUGCCAGCAGCCGCGAUCAUACGUAGGAUCCGAGCAUUAUCCGGAGUGACUGGGUGUAAAGAGUUGCGUAGGUGGCAUAAUAAGUAGCUAGUGAAAUCUGGUGGCUCAACCAUUCAGACUAUUAGCUAAACUGUGAAGCUCGAGACCGUUAGGGGUAACUGGAAUUUCUAGUGUAGGAGUGAAAGCCGUAGAUAUUAGAAGGAACACCAAUAGCGUAGGCAGGUUACUGGGACGGUUCUGACACUAAGGCACGAAAGCGUAGGGAGCAAACGGGAUUAGAGACCCUUGUAGUC